GUUACCAUAUGGAAGUGCAGAUCCAAUGGGGAGAGAGAACGAGGUUCCCUUGUCCCAUUCUGCCCUGCAGUGCCGAGGCAUUAUAGAGUAAUCAACAGAAGCAAGUUGCUUUAGAUUCAGACAUUACCUGGAUUCCCAAUCUUUCAAUCCAUGAUACUUGGAUGAGGAAAUUGAGCCUUGAUGCUGUGAAAGUGCUGCACUCAAUGUGCCAGCAAAUUUGGAAAACUCAGCAGCGGCCACAGGACUGGAAAAGGUCAGUUUUCAUUCCAAUCCCAAAGAAAGGCAAUGCAAAAGAAUGCUCAAACUACGGCACAAUUGUACUCAUCUCACACGCUAGUAAAGUGAUGCUCAAAAUUCUCCAAGCCAGGCUUCAGCAAUAUGUGAACCAUGAACUUCCAGAUGUUCAAGCUGGUUUUUAAAAAGGCAGAGGAAUCAGAGACCAAAUUGCCAACAUCUGCUGGACCAUUGAAAAAGCAAGAGAGUUCCAGAAAAAACAUCGAUUUCUGCUUUAUUGACUAUGCCAAAGCCUUUGACUGUGUGGAUUACAACAAACUGUGGAAAAUCCUGGAAGAGAUGGGAAUACCAGACCACUUGACCUGCCUCUUGAGAAACCCAUAUGCAGGUCAGGAAGCAGCAGUUAGAACUGGACAUGGAACAAUAGACUGGUUCCAAAUAGGAAAAGGAGUAUGUCAAGGCUGUAUAUUGUCACCCUGCUUAUUUAACUUAUAUGCAGAGUACAUCAUGAGAAACGCUGGACUAGAAGAAGCACAAGCUGGAAUCAAGAUUGCCAGGAGAAAUAUCAUUAACCUCAGAUAUGUAGAUGACACCACCCUUAUGGCAGAAAGUGAAGAAUAACUAAAGAGCCUCUUGAUGAAAGUGAAAGAAGAGAGUGAAAAAGUCAGCUUAAAACUCAACAUUCAGAAAACAAAGAUCAUGGCAUCUAGUUCCAUCACUUCAUGGGAAAUAGAUGGGGAAACAAUGGAAACAGUGUCAGACUUUAUUGUUUUGGGCUCCAAAAUCACUGCAGAUGGUGAUUGCAGCCAUGAAAUUAAAAGACGCUUACUCCUUGGAAGGAAAGUUAUGACCAACCUAGAAAGCAUAUUAAAAAGCAG
ensembl:lncRNA